GGGCUGGUAGCUUAGUGGUAAAGCGCCCGACUUUUAAUCGGUAGACCCUGGGUUCGAAUCCCAGCCAGCCCACCA
rnacentral:tRNA from 1 species